CUCAGAGCCUGUAGAAAUGACAUCAAUAGAUCACUCAUAAUCCAUCAUAUAAAGUUGAUUGCAUUACACAGUUGGGGUUGCAUAUUUAGUGUGUGUUAAAUGUAAAUAAUGGGGAAACUAGAUAUUAUUUAAAUUAAUACAAAUAUACAUCAAACUCUUACAGUGUAAAUUAGUGGAUAUUUUUAAAGGGAAAUGUAAAAGAUUUUUGUCUCUUUCUCAGACUCGUUCACUGCACACAGGUCAUUGUUCAUUAUAUUCAUUGCUAUAGAUACAAGAUAUUGUAUGAGCCAGCUGUGUUUAUCAGUGAAGUAGAAAAGCAGCGCUUCACUUGACUGUUAGAUGAUUCCUUUAUAGCAGACCUGAUGAGUUAGUGAACUAGUUUAUGUUCAACUGAACUAAACAAACUCCCAUUUGACACACAAUCUCUUCAAAUAAGACUGAAGUAUCUGUUAUAGUUCUCUCUGUUCUUUGUGUCAUUAGUGUAAGAUCAGACUCACAUGUGUCCAGCUCUGUGUCUGUGAAGAGUGACUGGUCAAAAGAGGAUCCACCGAACUUCAGUGAGAAAAAAACACCAUCUACCAAAAGUGUAAGAUCAGACUCACAUGUGUCCAGCUCUGUGUCUGUGAAGAGUGACCGGUCAAAAGAAGGUGUGCCACCGGACUUCAGUGAGAAAAAAGCAUCAUCUACCAAAAGGUAUUUAAUGUUUUUCUUAUUGUUGGUUGCACAUGGACUGCUAGAAAAUAUUUAAUUGAAUAUGUAUCAUGAAUCUAUAAUUGUUUAAAUAUUUAUCAGAGUUUUCAUUAAGAUGCUAAAAGCAUCAGCAAAGAAAAUUUAAAUGAUUUGAUGUGAAGUAUAUAUUUUGUAAAUUUUGGUGCACUAACAUAACUUUAUUAAUUCACCAGCCCCUGUGUUGUUUGCUUAUAGGACAGAAAAUAUUAGAAAAUAUUUAAUUGAAUAUGUAUCAUGAAUCUAUAAUUGUUUAAAUAUUUAUCAGAGUUUUCAUUAAGAUGCUAAAAGCAUCAGCAAAGAAAAUUUAAAUGAUUUGAUGUGAAGUAUAUAUUUUGUAAAUUUUGGUGCACUAACAUAACUUUAUUAAUUCACCAGCCCCUGUGUUGUUUGCUUAUAGGACAGAAAAUAUUACAAUGAGAGACCUAAUAUUUACCUAAAUUUACACUUAAAUAGAUCCUAUACUUUAACAGUGUGAACUUAAACAGCUUUUACUUUCUGUCUUUGUUAAAAAAAAUAUUUGCAAACUGUCUCUUUAAUAGUGUCCCUGAAAAUGCAGUACUUCAUUUUUAUUCACUAAUAGAGUUCAGUAUGAGACAUUAGAUUCAGACGUCCAGACUCACAGGAACUACAAGAAUUUCAAAGACAAUCUCCUUGCAGAUCUUCCAGGUAGAAAAACACAUUUUCAAUAAUGUUAACCUGAUUUAUCGUGCUAAUUAGUUUUCUUUUAGGAACACACAAAAAUGUAAAAGGAAAAACUUAUUUUUUGUAUUAUUUCUUUCUUUAGGAUCUUGAAAGCAAAAUUAUCACAUUUCUGAAGAAUGAGCUGCAAAAGUUUAAGAAAAUAUUACAAAAAGAAGACUUGGACUACUUUGUGAAGGACUUUAAUGAGAACAGAUGCAGAACAAAGAAGCAGCUCUUGAUCUCACGCUCUACUUCCUGAGAGAGAUGAAGCAAGAUGAAGCUGCUGAUACUCUAGAAGGUAAGAGACUCUGUUGACUGCUUCCAGCACUGUGUCAGUCUGUUUUCUCUUCCA
rnacentral:lncRNA from 1 species